GCACACAGUCCCAGAGCACUGACCCACAAAGUCAUAAGAGCUAUUUCCUGACACCUCAUACUGAUCGCCUUCCCAAUUUUAGCCCAGAAGCCUCAGCCAUGAAGCUCCCACCAGGUCUGCCCUCUCACCCAGUGACCUGCAAAGUGGGAGAGGAGACAGAGGAGAAGUAACACAUGGGAGCCAUUCAGCCCCAUUUCAGCCCCCUGGGACUGAGGAGAAGGCAACUCAGCCAUGAGUGGCUCCAAGUAGCUUGCCUCCCAGGAUGCAGAACUCCAGAGGAAUGCAGAAAGGACUCAGCUGCCAUUCCAAUGCUGGGAAGCUGAGGAGUAUGGCCCAUUUGGAAGCUGCUGGAGGAAGCCAUUGCAGGCAAAAUCUGAGGUUUUUCUUCAACAGUCAUCUUUAGCACUGGUCUUCAGGGAGACCUCAGACUUCAGUGCAGCAGAGCCAAUCAUGCAUAACUUGGACCUAAAACAUCUUCAGGCUGAGAACACUCAUCAUUUGUCUCUGGGGAUCCAGGAAAGCCUUGGAGAGCCUUUCUCCUGUGUAUCAGACAGCCAUGGGUACAGAGUUCCCAUCAGAUGUCUGAGCUGAUAACUAAUUUAGUUCUCAGCCUCGUGGAGUGGUGACUGGAGUUUUGAAGGGCGCCCACAAAGACCAUGACUUGGGGUUUAUCAGGAUUCAGCUGGUUGGAUCAUUUGAGGUCAUUCCUAGUUCAUGACAAUAAAACUGAGUCCUCAGCAGAAAAGAGAUUUAUUUUCUCCAGUAUUAUGUGGGGAACACAAUUAAAAUGGCAGCUUUAAGAAUA
rnacentral:sRNA from 1 species